rnacentral:tRNA from 1 species
CGGGACGUGGCGCAGUUUGGCAGCGCGCAGCGUUCGGGACGCUGAGGCCGCCGGUUCAAAUCCGGCCGUCCCGACCA